UCUCUUUUUUUUUAAAUGGUAGAACAAAGAAUCACACAAGGACAAGAUUCCAUGGAAAAGACCCAAUGGCUGGGAAAGUUCUAAGCAGCAGGAAAAGAGGAAAACUGAAUGUGAGAUGGAUGGACGCUGUAAAGGAAGCCACAGAUGGGUUUGCAGGACCUGAGCAGGCUUGCUAAAGGCAGAACCGUUCCGGAGGGUUGCCAUAAAUCAGAUGCAACUCGGCAGCAUGGAAUAACAACCGAGGGUCAUUUAGUUCAGCCCUCCUCCAGGGUCUCUGCAGCAAACAAACAGUAGGUGUGUCGAGCUGGAAUAGAACCCCAGGGGCAUCUAGUCCACCCCUACCAAUCUGGUUAGGCCCUCGUUCCCCUCACACAUGAUCAAGAGUGUUGUGUGGAUCCUGUCUUCCAGAACAGCAAAAUUGGCUGGCAUGCAAGGUUUUUGUGUGUGAAAUAAAUAAAUGCACAAAUAAAUAAAUAAGCGAGGUGUCAUUUAAGGCUGUAACGUCAGGUUUCGUGGCUAGGGGGUUGCCCAAGGGUGGCGAAAUUUGGAGGGUGCCAACAUUUGCUGCUAGAAGGGCGAAGACCUGCCCCUUAGCAUUUGCUGUACGAAGCCCUGGACCUUUAAGCCACAGUUCAAGAGAGAACUUGGGCUCUGAAAUUGCUCCAUGAACUUUAUUUGAAAGUGCUUCUGCACCAAGGAAAGGUGGCCAGGAUCUUUGCCUCCUGGGCAUGUGGCCCUUGGCUCCCUGGGGGGGGAUGGGGGGGAGGAUGGUGGUGGCUGAGGAUGACCUCACAAUCCCUGAGGAUGACAUCAGAGCUUUGUGAUUCUCAAGGCAAGUUUGGGAGGCCAGCGGGCAUUUCUUGCAACUGCUGUGGGAACCGCCAGCGCCUCGAAGAACGAUCCAGCAGGAGAAGAAAUCAAAGCAAAGACAAGCGCUCUGCAUAGUGGAAGACUUCGAAGCAGAGAGGCUGAUCGGGUGGCUAGCAGGUCGGGGCCACCAUGCUUCCGGCCAAAGAGCCAUCUCCAAGUUCGCCGAGGAAUCGUUCGCCUCCCCGGGAAUCGUACUCCAGCCUCCCGGCCCGAGGCAGGAUUGGCCCCUCGGCCACCCCUGAGACUUUCCAAAGAGCUGCCUUGCCCCAUAGAGCAAGUGAGGCUGCUCAGGGGGCUUGGCCUCCAAGAGCCACUGACCGGAGCCCCUCACCCCGGAGAGGAAGUGAGGUCUCCCAGGCUUCCCAGAGGGGGAGUCUGAGCGAGCCUCCCCGGAAAACAUCGCCAGGGGCCUCCCCAGGGAGAGGGAGCGAGCCCUUUCCCAGAAGUGGGGCCCCCCAGAGAGGAAGUUGUGACCUGAUGCAAGGGAUGCCGAGGGGCCCCAAUCUCUCUCCACCUGGCCCCUCGUCACGAAGAGGAAGCGAGCUCUCUCAGACGUCUUCCUCCGGCCGGCAGCUGAACAACGUUUCGCGCCACGCAUCUCCCCCCCAAGAGAGGGAGGACGUCCGGCGUUCUUCACUCCCCAAAGGGCUGGAUUCCCCCCCAAUUGCCUCCCCCCGCCGAGGGAGCCAGCUGUCCCAGGGCCUUUGUGCGAGGCCAGGGGGCCAACACGGGCAAGACCUCUCCCCGCAAGGGGAAAGCAACUUGGCGCUACAGCAAGGGAGGCCGGUGGCCCAGAGCGUGUCACCGCAAAACUUGGACUACCGGUGCGGGAGGUGUUACCUCGAAUCGGAGCAGUUGAGCAUGGCCGCUGGCCGGAUGCUCCUGGCGAUGCAGCAAGCGCUGAACGCACAACUAGAGGAGAUGUGCCAGCAAGCCUGCCCUUUGUCAGAGAGGGACGGCCACUACACCCCCAGCAGCCUGACUCGGAACAAUUCAUUAAAGCCGGCAAUGAAAUAUUUGGCCAGAGCCAGCUCUGGCCUCGAGGAGGAAUGGGCACAGGGGUCUCCUCUAAGUAGGGAUUCCCUCCAAGCACCUGGAAAUUGUCCUUCUCAGCGAGCGACUGGUGCCGGACAGUGUGACCCGUCUCAGCCCCUAGUGAAGAAGCCGGUCCUGAGACAUGUGCCCAACCCGAAGGACGCUUGGACUCAAACAGAGGGGAAAGUCAUCCAGAGACAAGUGCCCAGCCUGAAGGACGCUUGGAGCCAAACAGAACUGGCUCCCUUCUUCCCCCCGGGCCCAUCCUUGAAGGUCGAGGUGUGGAGGGCGACCCCAGAGGCUCGGGCCCGGUCGGUUCCCUCACCGGCAGGCCUCGGCUCGGUUCCUCAACUGGAGUCGAAAGGGAGCUGCAAGCCUGUUUUGCACCCGGACAGCGAAUCGGAGUACCUCUGCGCUCUCCAUCGAGGGAGGGAGGCAUCUAGCAAACGGCCCGUCUCCCCGGGCCCCGUCCUGCCUCUCCAGAGUGCCCUCCCUCCGGAGGGAGAGCGGAGAAGGAGCUCCCUCCGGACCAGCCAUGAAGGGAACCAAAUGGUCUACAGGCCAGCUGCCGCUCAUCCGGAGACCGAAUCCGAGUACCGCUGCCCCCUUCACCUGCAGAUGGAAGCGGCGGCCGCUGCCCGGAAGAGCUCCCUCUCUCCCGGGAUGAGCGUUCCUCAGCGGGCCUCUUUCUACACCCAGACAGAAGAGAGACGAGACUCUUCCCCAAGAGGAUCCCUCUUUCAAGAGACAAACUCACUGUGGGCCCCGGCCGUGGAGGCUUUGACCACAACCGAGCCUUGCCAAGGUGCCAAGGCAAUGCCCAGCGGAGAGGAGCGUCAGCGGGCCUUGCAGCAUCGGGAGAGCAUGGCGGCUUGGCCUGGAGACUUACCUCGUCACGCCUUGCCAAAAUUUGGGCCGGAGUGUUCCUGGUGGUAUUUGCUCCAGGGACAGCCCUCCCCGUUGACUCCAGGCCACAUGGGAAGGGCCAAGACCCUUCAAAUGGAGAAGCCGGCCAGUCCUCCACCUCCAGAACGGGCAGAGAGGGGCAGGAGUCUGCCUGCUCCCGACCGGCCAGAGGAGCAGGCCAUUCUUCCUGCUCCGGACUGGAGUGAGAAGCCCGUGAGCCCGGCUGAUCCGUGCAGUGCGGAUGCCACACCAGCUGCUCCGGAGGGAACUUUUGGUUCCCCCACUGGUGCCAUUUCGCCCUCAAGCCAAGACCUGGCUGCCUUGCCAGGGUGUCCUGAAGAGAUGCUGGCAGACAGGUUUACUGCUUUCUUUUUGGAUGUUUGCGAUGACAUGAACCCUAAUAUAUUUUGGUGUUUGAAAGGUGGGUGUUUGAAACAUCUUUCUAACUUAUGGGGUGACUGAUGGGAAAAGAAAAUCAAUGG
ensembl:lncRNA